UUUGCCUACGGGACGCAGCAGUGGGGGAUAUUGCACAAUGGGGGGAACCCUGAUGCAGCGACGCCGCGUGGGUGAAGGAGCGUUUCGGCGCGUAAAGCCCUAUCGGCAGGGAAGAAGAUGACGGUACCUGACCAAGAAGCCCCGGCUAACUACGUGCCAGCAGCCGCGGGAAUACGUAGGGGGGAAGCGUUAUCCGGAUUUACUGGGUGUAAAGGGGGCGCAGACGGCAAUGCAAGCCAGGAGUGAAAGCCCGGGGCCCAACCCCGGGACUGCUCUUGGCACUGCAUGGCUG
rnacentral:rRNA from 1 species